rnacentral:misc_RNA from 1 species
AAGUCGUAACAAGGUUUCCGUAGGUGAACCUGCGGAAGGAUCAUUAACACGUAUCCAAACGUUAAACAACCCCGUGAACAUACAACCUGCUCUGGUCGCCCGCUCGCAUGGACAAGCCCAGUAAAUCAAGCCCCGGAAAGUUUUUGAUUUGGGACCUCUGUGCGCGUGAGAAAAACUGACAGCGAUUCAUAGAAGCGGUAGGUCAAGUGACACGGCGUCCCCAAGUGACCAGUGAAUGAAAGUGUCGCUGGAGCGUCAAGGACGACUCUUCAAGAUUGCUAUACUGAGCUUCCUUCCGAACCCCACUUUAUUGCCUUGCCUGUAAGCAUCCAUGGCAGGCCCCCCGAACAACUGUUAACAAUGGAUAUCUUGGUUCUC